GAUGAACGCUAGCUACAGGCUUAACACAUGCAAGUCGAGGGGAAACGCUGAGAGAGCUUGCUCUCUUAGGCGUCGACCGGCGCACGGGUGAGUAACGCGUAUCCAACCUACCCAUUACAGGGGGAUAACCUUGCGAAAGUAAGACUAAUACCCCAUGGCAUUUUAUGGUGGCAUCAUUAUAGGAUUAAAGAUUUAUUGGUAAUGGAUGGGGAUGCGUCUGAUUAGCUUGUUGGCGGGGUAACGGCCCACCAAGGCAACGAUCAGUAGGGGUUCUGAGAGGAAGGUCCCCCACAUUGGAACUGAGACACGGUCCAAACUCCUACGGGAGGCAGCAGUGAGGAAUAUUGGUCAAUGGGCGAGAGCUUGAACCAGCCAAGUAGCGUGCAGGAGGACGGCCCUAUGGGUUGUAAACUGCUUUUAUAGGGGAAGAAAGUGAGCUACGUGUAGUUUAUUGCAUGUACCCUAUGAAUAAGGACCGGCUAAUUCCGUG
rnacentral:rRNA from 1 species